UACGUAGGGUGCGAGCGUUUAAUCGGAAUUACUGGGCGUAAAGCGUGCGCAGGCGGUUCGUUAAGUUCGAUGUGAAAGCCCCGGGCUCAACCUGGGAAUUGCAUUCGAGACUGCAUUGCUGGAGUACGGAAGAGGAAGGCGGAAUUCCCGGUGUAGCGGUGAAAUGCGUAGAUAUCGGGAGGAACAUCAGUGGCGAAGGCGGCCUUCUGGUCCAGUACUGACACUCAAGUGCGAAAGCGUGGGGAGCAAACAGG
rnacentral:rRNA from 1 species